UCAGCUAAAAGGGUGAUACAAGGAAUGGUUUCCUUCUAACUAAACCACAAGUGGACAAACUAAGAAGGGAACAUGUCAAGCAUGAACAGAAGCCAGCAGCAGUGGGGCAUGUACAAAGUUUGAUCGGUGGAAACCACAGGGAAAAACAGGGUCCUCAAAAACAAAAAACCAGAAUCUCCCCACACAUUGAGAGAGAUUCUAAUGUAAGAAUAUUAUGCAUAUUCUUUGUGUCCUGGUGUACUGCCCGAAAUUGCUUCAGUGAAGCUGAAGAAGCUUCUGGGAUGAGAAGCAAAACAUC